GACAGAGGCCCCAAGCGUUAGUCGGAAUUACUGGGCUUAAAGGGUGCGUAGGCGGGCGCGUAAGUGUUCUGUGAAAUCCCCGGGCUCAACCCGGGAACCGCAGGGCAUACUGCGCGUCUCGAGGAAGCUAGAGGCCGGUGGAACGAUCGGUGGAGCGGUGGAAUGCGUAGAGAUCGAUCGGAACGCCAAGGGUGAAGACAACCGGCUGGGGCUUUCCUGACGCUGAGGCACGAAAGCGCGGGGAUCAAACAGG
rnacentral:rRNA from 1 species